GGUCAAGCUUUUAAGGGCACACGGUGGAUGCCUAGGCGUCUAGAGGCGAUGAAGGGCGUGUCUAGCUGCGAUAAGCUUCGGGGAGCUGCUAAGAGAGCUUUGAUCCGAAGAUUUCCGAAUGAGGAAACUCUUUUCACCGUAAGGUGAAAAAUCCCGAUUUUGAAUACAUAGAUUUCGGGAAGCGAACUCCGGGAACUGAAACAUCUCAUGUACCGGAAGGAAUAUAAAUCAACCGAGAUUCCCCUAGUAGUGGCGAGCGAACGGGGAAGAGCCUAAACCGGCGUCACAUUAAGAAUUUCAUUUGAUGGAAUUUUUAGUGUGACGCCGGGGUUGCGGGACCUCAAUGUGAGACCAAUAAGGAUAGAUUAACGGUGUGGGAAAGCCGGCCAUAGGGCGUGAUAGCCGCGUGAUCGAAAUCCGAGUUGGCUCUAGAGGUAUCCCAAGUACCAUGGGACACGAGAAAUCUCAUGGGAAUCUGGGGAGACCAUUCUCCAAGGCUAAAUACUACUAGACGACCGAUAGUGAACAAGUACCGUGAGGGAAAGGUGGGAAGAACCCCGAAAGGGGAGGUCCGUGAACCUGAAACCGUGUGCCUACAAGCAGUCAGAGCACUAUGGCCGUCGCAAGACGGAUAGGUGUGAUGGCGUGCCUUUUGCAUAAUGAGCCAGUGAGUUACUGUUGCAUGCAAGGUUAAUCUGCUUUGAGCAGAGGAGCCGUAGCGAAAGCGAGUCCUAAUCGGGCGCAUCAGUAUGCGGCUGUAGACCCGACACCAGUUGUGAUCUAUCCAUGACCAGGAUGAAGUCUCGGUAACACGAGAUGGAGGUCCGAACCGGUGGACGAUGAAAAGUCUUCGGAUGAGUUGUGGAUAGGAGUGAAAGGCUAAUCAAACCUGGAGAUAGCUGGUUCUCCUCGAAAUAUAUUUAGGUAUAGUCUCAUGUGAAUACUGUCGGAGGUAGAGCACUGGAUGGACUAGAGGUCUUACCCGACUAUCAAACCCAACCAAACUCCGAAUGCCGACAAGUAAUGCACGGGAAUCAGACCGUAGGGGAUAAGCUCUAUGGUCGAGAGGGAAAAAGCCCAGACCGUCAGCUAAGGUCCCAAAAUAAUGGCUAAGUGGAAAAGGAUGUGGAAGCGCACAGACAACCAGGAGGUUGGCUUAGAAGCAGCCAUCCUUUAAAGAAAGCGUAACAGCUCACUGGUCAAGUG
rnacentral:rRNA from 1 species